rnacentral:rRNA from 1 species
UACAGGGGGGGGCAAGCGUUGUUCGGAAUUACUGGGCGUAAAGGGCUCGUAGGUGGCCAACUAAGUCAGACGUGAAAUCCCUCAGCUUAACUGGGGAACUGCGUCUGAUACUGGAUGGCUUGAGUUUGGGAGAGGGAGUGCGGAAUUCCAGGUGUAGCGGUGAAAUGCGUAGAUAUCUGGAGGAACACCGGUGGCGAAGGCGGCAUCCUGGACCAACACUGACACUGAGGAGCGAAAGCCAGGGGAGCAAACGGG